GCAAACUGUAAAUAGAUCUUGUGGCUGAGUGACAGCACACUCCAACUGUCUUAUUUGUGUGCUUAGGGAUACCCAGCUUACCCGCUCAACAUUGCCUCUAGGGCAGCAUACUGGUCUCACACCUCCAUUGUCAGGGGAUUCGGUCUCAUCUCUACUCUGUGUUUGCGGAGUGUGCGCGUCCUCCAUGUGGCGUGGGUUUCCGAAUGGUCAUCCAGUUUCUUCCCAUAGGCCAAAGUGACAGUGUCGAACAGUGUGACCCUGUGCUGUGACCACCAAGCUAUGAAGAGCAAGAUGAGGUUGCUAAAGGGAAGCACUCCAAUGUACAGUACCUGUACUUGUUUGCAAAUGGCAAAUAAAACUUGUUUGUUUGUUGUUUAAAGUUGAAAUAUACUUGUGGAAUGUAUAAUAAACAGU